rnacentral:rRNA from 1 species
GAUUACGGCCAUAUCACCCUGACAACGCCCGAUCUUGUCUGAUCUCGGAAGCUAAACAGAGUUGGGCUGGGUCAGUACUUGGAUGGGUGAUCUGCCUGGGAAUACCCGGUGCUGUAAGCA